UGCAGAAAAUGAGCACUUCUCCUUUUCGCUCCAGUCUCCUCAGCUCAUCUCAGUAACUGGUCCACGUGGUCUUUGGAGAGCCAAUUGCUUGGAACACAGAGCACACUGAUGAGCUUCCCAGUUGCAAGGUUUCUAUUGAUGAGACUUUUAGGAGGGGAACCUGGGGAAGGGGUCGAGCAGACAAGCAGAGGAAUACCUGCCCAGCCACCCUGCCCAUUCCUGUGGUUCCUGUGAUCAGUGAUGUGAAGCUGCAGCAAAUAAAGCAAAUGACCACAAGUGGAAGGAAUCGCUCAUCUGCAGCCAGGAGAGUUUCUUAUGAAGACCUGGCUGCUAAGAGCUUCACAGGUUUCUAGGGAAAUAUGGGUAUGACCAAUGACCACUCCAACUCUGAAGUAGGGAGUAGACAACUACUGCAUGUUCAGUGAACUCUGGAAUGUAGCAUCCUUAUUGCAUUAAAGAAGAUACUAUUCUAACAAAAUAAUCCAAG